rnacentral:sRNA from 1 species
GGCAGGAGGUUCGACUCGAGCGAAGCGAGAGAACGUUGCGUCAGCAACGGCCCGCAGGGCGAGUCACGCAGUGGCGAGUCAUCCUCUAUCACCGGCAG